rnacentral:lncRNA from 1 species
UUCAUUUAAGGAUUACUAAAAUGGUUUCUCACUAAACUCUCAAGAAAUCGAAAGAGUUGCAGCUGAGGAUUGCCUCAGCGCAGCUUCAGUGACCUAGAUAUGCGGACACACCUUAGGUAAAUCAACUCCAAAUUUUGCCCAAGUCAAGCCAAAACCUAUGCUUGGUUUGUAGGUUUAUUUCUUUCUGGCUGGGAUUAUCGUUGGGAACCAAGUGAAACCUUGUCCCAGG